AGUGAACGCUGGCGGUAGGCCUAACACAUGCAAGUCGAACGGCAGCACAGUAAGAGCUUGCUCUUACGGGUGGCGAGUGUCGGACGGGUGAGGAAUACAUCGGAAUCUACUUUUUCGUGGGGGCUAACGUAGGGAAACUUACGCUAAUACCGCAUACGACCUACUUGUGACAGCAGGGGAUCUUCGGACCUUGCGCGAUUGAAUGAGCCGAUGUCGGAUUAGCUAGUUGGCGGGGUAAAGGCCCACCAAGGCGACGAUCCGUAGCUGGUCUGAGAGGAUGAUCAGCCACACUGGAACUGAGACACGGUCCAGACUCCUACGGGAGGCAGCAGUGGGGAAUAUUGGACAAUGGGCGCAAGCCUGAUCCAGCCAUACCGCGUGGGUGAAGAAGGACUUCGGGUUGUUAAGCCCUUUUGUUGGGAAAGAAAAGAAGCAGGUUAAUACCCCGCUGUUAUGACGGUACCCAAAGAAUAAGCACCGGCUAACUUCGUG
rnacentral:rRNA from 1 species